GCUGCGUGUUUGUUAGGUUGUGGGGUGUUGUGUGAGGGAGUGGCUGGGUGGCGUGACGCUGCGUGUGGGGUUGUUAGGGUUGUGGGGUGUUGUGUGAGGGAGUGGCUGGGUGGCGUGCUGUGAACCAGUGUACCAUCAAAUGUGCUGUGAAGCAGUGUACCAUACAAGGCGUUGACGAUCCAAAGGCCUGACUCCACAGCGGUAAUGCGUCCCCUCUACUAUCAAGGAGAGACUCUACCUUGCACUACACCUUCACUGACAACGCCCACGAUCAACACCUCUGCCUCACCACUACCGCAACAUCAGAGGACUGUCUUGCAUCGCGCCCAGACACUACGUAGAUUUCACUAACCAGGAAUUGGCGAUCCAAGGCCUGAGUGUAGCGAUCAAGGGACUCCACCACCACUGCCGCCGUCCAGCGAGAUUCGGCUCCACAUCUCACACCUUCCGCCGCCGUCCCCACCACCACCACCACCAUCAAGGAUUAUGCACGGCACCUUGACCCUGCGCGGCCAUCACCUACUGUGGGUGUCGGUGGCCAGGGUGGGGGAGGAGUUGCGGGCAGCGUGACAGUCAGUCUUCCCUCAUUCACUGUGGUACUGUGGGUGGUGUGGUGUGGUGCCAUUACUCCAUUGUAAUAAACUGUCUUCACUGCCUCAUUGUGGUGUUCUCACUGUACUAAGAGCUGUUGUCAAUAAAUAAUAAAUUGUGUAGAAAU